rnacentral:sRNA from 1 species
CCCGCACUCGCUUGAUGCGCUCUUCAAGAUUUGCAUUUUUAAAGGCAGCAAAACAGAUCUUUGAGAUCCAGAUAGGGUUUGGAUGGAACCGUUUCCCUGACCUGCUGAGGGAAUUAAGGAUUUUCUGCCACCCUCUCCAGUUUUCGGAUGUUGGCCCGAGAGCACACGCGCCAGGGCCAAAGUCAGAGUAUAGGAGCAGUCCAAUCUCAUUGAUUUCGCUCUUGAUGAGUCUAAUUUUUUCUUUCAUGGUAUCAAAGCCAUCCCUUCCCCAGAAAUAUUCAUAUUCCUCGUCCGAGUAUGUUCUCGCCCCAUCACACCAAAGCAUAUGCCAUGCUCUCAAGAAGGAGCAACAAGUCGCAAAUCUUGUGUUGUACCAUUGCAAUUGCUCCCCACAGCCUCGAAAAUCG